CAGGAUGGAGCGUGGCUUUGGGGAAGGGAAGAGAGGGAGCGCGGCGAGCGAGACCCUCUUAUCUGCUUCCUCGCUGCUCCGGCUGCUUCCUCCCUUCCCUGCCCGCCAGUACUCAACAGUCCCUGCUGAUGCAGCUCGGGGGGGGGGUGUUUUCCCUCCCUACCUGGUGCUCUUUUAACACCCCCCCCUGGCGCUGCCCCCUCCCCAGGCGCCUGCUGUUGGGGCCACGCGCUCGCCCGAGCCUCCCCCUUCCCUUCCCCACCUCUUCUCCCAGCCGCCCCGUCUCCCUCCAUCCUGGAGCGACCAGCUCCGGUGCAGACCCUUCCUCACUUUCUCCCCCGCGUGCUUCCUCCCUUUUCCCCGCCGAACUCCGAAACAGUUAUUUCCCUUUGGAGUGGCCAACCCAGGAGCAUAAAACCGGUGCGCAGCAGGUGCCAGCGAGGGAAUACCCAGUUCCCUGAUAAGGAGCACUCAGCAACCGCGCAGCAUUAGUGCCCGGGGCUCCCGCUGCACCCUCUGGGCUGAAAGGGGUUAAAGCAGCGCCGAAUUUUCCCGUGCAAAGAAAGGAAGUUUGGUUGGAGCACAUGGAGGGAAAUAAUGUGAAAAAUGUUGAAACGCUGCCCAGCUGGCAUGAGGUAAUACUAGCAAGUGCUCCGCUCCUCGGCUGCAAUAAAUACAUCCUGGGAUGGGCCGCUACAGUUUCCUGGAAUCUGAGAGACCUAGUUUAGCACCUAAUCCAAGCUCUCCCGAAAUCAGUUCAAUUCUCUCCAUUUAUAGCAAGGAGGAGACAGAUCUUUCACGAAAUAUUGCAGAGGAAAGUGAAGUUUGCCAGUGGGCCAGAUCCUGUGAGAGGCAAAGCACCUUGACAGCUGUCUGGAGUCUGGGUGCAGACCUGCAGUAUCCUGAGCUGCCCCACCAAAGGUCGGAGAAACUCAACCCUGUCCCACUUUUGGGGACUUCACUUGUAGAGGGGAGAAUCCAUCCUCUACGCAUCCAAAGGGCAGCAAUGGGACCGCACCGGCCCAUGGUGCCCUGAGGUCCUAGGGUCCUGGCGGCAAGCCCUGAUGAAGUCAAAUCUGGAGUCCUCUCGUUUCACACUGAUAAAGUCCCAUCGAUGCAGCUGGAGCUCCUUUGGCUUGCAUGGAUAGAAGAAAGGUGAGCUUUGUACUAGGGAUUUUUUCAUGCACCCUCAGAAUACCCAUUUGAAGUUAACGUGCAUGAAUUAAUUCACUUUUGACCCAUCUGAAGAGCAGCAGUUAAACCAAAGGUAGCUGCAUGUGUGCUGCAGGACCCAAACCCAUUUUUGUUGCAAGGCCUUGGCACAAGAGCUGUGAAGGGACCAGCAGGUUUGUACCUAGAACCUCCCAGGGAGACUAGAGCAAACAGCGAAAAUACAGUGUGUCAAGCAAUGGACGUGUUAAAAACACCCGAGUUUACUCCCAGCUUGGCUAUUAACUUGCUGUUUGAUGCAGACCACCAAACAUCUCGACUCAAAUACAGAGCGAAGGUGAGGACAGGGGCCUUAUUCGAUAAUAACGCAGUUCAUUUGGUGUUGCGUGGGCAAGAGUACGAUGCGAUGCGCCAGAAAUAAUCAGCUUAACUUCAGCAUGGCCGUUAGCGUAGCCUCGUCC
ensembl:lncRNA